CAUAUUGAAACGUACCCGGGGUCUGCUAGCCCGGACACACUUCAAUAUCGACACGUGGGUUCUUCUCAAACACACGUAAAUGGAUAAGGGAAAAUAGGGACACAAGGACUAAAAGAUACGGACGCCUGAAAUAAGAUUAACACAACAAUUUAUUAAAUAUACAUUUCACAAACAAUAAAAUUCGUAUAUAGUAUAUUCUGUGGAUGGCUCUGGCUUGGGCUCCUCGUCUUAGGUCAGGAAUAUUCUUCUGUUACGUCUAGAAUAAUGUAUAAUAUAAGAUGUAAUGAAAGGCUUGACAAAUACGGUGUCACGUCUUGCCUGUGGUCUGGUACAAAUUCUAUGGUAGGAAUUACCAUGAAAUGCUAUAAGGUUGAUGGGGUAUCUAAAAUGGUAACUACAAAAUACAGUGGUGUUCUACCCUGGUAUAUGGGUAUCACUAUAAAAUAUGGGAUUAUGGCUAUGGAAACUUGGUCUUCAGUCAGGAUCUAUCAUAAAUGGUAAAUAAUGCCAAACUGCCAAACUAGAUGAUUAAAUAUAAAGCUUCUAUAUAAACUAUUACUGGCAUAAAGUAUUAUAUACCUUCUGGUGGCUGGAGAUACAUCCAUAUUCAAUAUAGUAUAGAUGUGGUCUGGUGGCUAUCUACCAAGGUACUGACAAUUUUGGCAGAUUCGGGCUGCUAUUUAUAGUCUGGGACGCUGGGUGGCUAGCUUGGCUAGGGUGCCUAGCUUGGCAGUAUCGUCAUCGUCUUCGAUGACGUCACUGCCAAUCUCGCGCGGGCAGAAAUUUAGCCAGUGCCAGCUGCCAUGUUUAAAUUGGCAGCGUGUGGCUAAUUGAACAUUAAAACGGCUACAACGUAGAAAAUAAGUUAUUUUAAGUAAUAUAACCAUCGUAAAUAUUAAAAGGAUGAAGUUAUCUGUACAUGUAGUGUAUGUUUUGAUGAUUAAAAGUUGAUGUCAUGAAGUACAGUUAAUUACUUUAGUACUUGAGUAGUUUCCGGAUACGGGUUUAUUUUCGGACGUAAAAUGAUGGGCUUGAUCGUUACAUUGCACCCCGCUCACAUGGAUUCAGCCCCUGAAUAGUAGGAAGUGAAUAGAGAGCUUGGGUGUAUUGGUUAGUUGGUCACCUGGAGAAGCGGUUAUUACCAACUGCUCAUCUAAACAGAAGUAUACUUCAUUACAUCCUCAGCCUAAAAUACACUCCUUACAGUGGGACACUGCACAAUCAUGGCUGGUUUGUCAUAUUACGGGAAAAAGGACCACUCUGAUGUGCAAGCAGAGGAACGAUGGUGUCCACCUGAAGUCAAUAUUUUUGAACAACAGGGAGCGGGUUAAAGUGUCCACCAGAUGAACAGGUAGUUAAGUAAACAGCUGUUCAAAUUGGAGCAGGAAGGGGGUCCACCUGAAACUCAUCAAUGUAAAGGGUUGAUUUGUAACAAGGAGCGGUGUAUUUGGAAUUCCAUGUCUUCAUUUUUGUUAAAUAUUCAUCAGCUGGAUUGGUAAGAAUAGGUAUACAUUAUUUAUUUAAAUAUCACUUUCAUUUAGGAUCAUAAGUAUCAUAGAACAACAACAACAACUAGUUGGUUUAAACUUCCUCUUAUUAUUAAUCUCUAUUUUUUUUUUAUAUAUAUUUAUAUCUAUGGCAUAUUUAUAGCAUAUAACUAUUUAACUGUCUAGUCUGUUUGUCAUGUAUCUGUUAGAUUGAUCUCUUUUAAGGUCAUUUAAGUCUCUAUUAAUUUACUCUAAUGAUUUGCAAAUGGUAUCAAGUUUAAGGUCUUUUCUUUCCUGUUCUGGGUCAGAGACUGAUGCUACUAAUUUAUUUCUUUGUUUGUCUGCUGUACGGAAAGCCUCUAACCUAAUAGCUGCUUGUUCGGCUUCUAAUAGGGUUUUUGGUGAUAUUUCCUUUAGUCUUAAUCUAAUCUCUGAGUCUUUAAUAGCAUCAAUAAAAUGAUCUAAGGCUAUUGCCUCAAUUACUUCUUUAGAAGCACUGGCAUAAUAAGUGU